rnacentral:rRNA from 1 species
GGCCCAAACUCCUACGGGAGGCUGCAGUAGGGAUCUUCCACAAUGGGCGAAAGCCUGAUGGAGCAACGCCGCGUGUGUGAUGAAGGCUUUCGGGUCGUAAAGCACUGUUGUAUGGGAAGAAAAGUUAAGGUAGGGAAUGACCUUAGCCUGACGGUACCAUACCAGAAAGGGACGGCUAAAUACGUGCCAGCAGCCGCGGUAAUACGUAUGUCCCGAGCGUUAUCCGGAUUUAUUGGGCGUAAAGCGAGCGCAGACGGUUGGUUAAGUCUGAUGUGAAAGCCCGGAGCUCAACUCCGGAAAGGCAUUGGAAACUGGUUAACUUGAGUGCAGUAGAGGUAAGUGGAACUCCAUGUGUAGCGGUGGAAUGCGUAGAUAUAUGGAAGAACACCAGCGGCGAAGGCGGCUUACUGGACUGUAACUGACGUUGAGGCUCGAAAGUGUGGGUAGCAAACAGGAUUAGAUACCCUGGUAGUCCACACCGUAAACGAUGAACACUAGGUGUUAGGAGGUUUCCGCCUCUUAGUGCCGAAGCUAACGCAUUAAGUGUUCCGCCUGGGGAGUACGACCGCAAGGUUGAAACUCAAAGGAAUUGACGGGGACCCGCACAAGCGGUGGAGCAUGUGGUUUAAUUCGAAGCAACGCGAAGAACCUUACCAGGUCUUGACAUCCUUUGAAGCUUUUAGAAAUAGAAGUGUUCUCUUCGGAGACAAAGUGACAGGUGGUGCAUGGUCGUCGUCAGCUCGUGUCGUGAGAUGUUGGGUUAAGUCCCGCAACGAGCGCAACCCUUAUUGUUAGUUGCCAGCAUUCAGAUGGGCACUCUAGCGAGACUGCCGGUGACAAACCGGAGGAAGGCGGGGACGACGUCAGAUCAUCAUGCCCCUUAUGACCUGGGCUACACACGUGCUACAAUGGCGUAUACAACGAGUUGCCAACCUGCGAAGGUGAGCUAAUCUCUUAAAGUACGUCUCAGUUCGGACUGCAGUCUGCAACUCGACUGCACGAAGUCGGAAUCGCUAGUAAUCGCGGAUCAGCACGCCGCGGUGAAUACGUUCCCGGGUCUUGUACACACCGCCCGUCACACCAUGGAAGUUUGUAAUGCCCAAAGCCGGUGGCCUAACCGUAAGGAGGAACCGUCUAAGG